UACGGGGGGGGCAAGCGUUGUUCGGAAUUACUGGGCGUAAAGGGCUCGUAGGUGGCCAACUAAGUCAGACGUGAAAUCCCCAGGCUCAACUUGGGAACUGCGUCUGAUACUGGACGGCUUGAAUUCGGGAGAGGGAUGCAGAAUUCCAGGUGUAGCGGUGAAAUGCGUAGAUAUCUGGAGGAACACCGGUGGCGAAGGCGGCGUCCUGGACCAACACUGACACUGAGGAGCGAAAGCCAGGGGAGCAAACGGG
rnacentral:rRNA from 1 species